UGGGAAGACAACCUUGCUGUGAUAAGAUUGGACUAAAAAGAGGUCCAUGGACUAUUGAGGAAGAUCACAAGCUCAUGAACUUUAUCCUCAAUAAUGGUAUCCAUUGCUGGCGAAUGGUUCCUAAGCUUGCAGGUUUGCUACGAUGUGGAAAGAGCUGUAGACUGAGAUGGAUUAAUUAUCUGAGGCCUGAUCUUAAGAGAGGAAGCUUUACAGAAAUGGAAGAGAAUCAAAUUAUUCAGCUUCACUCGCGUCUCGGCAAUAGGUGGUCCAAGAUUGCUUCUCAUUUCCCUGGUCGUACAGACAAUGAAAUCAAGAACCAUUGGAAUACUCGAAUCAAGAAGAAGCUAAAGCAACUGGGUUUAGACCCUGUGACUCACAAGCCUAUUGAACAAAAAGAAAUGGGUACUAGUAGUGGCGUGAAUAAUGAGACAAUUCCUGAGUAUAAUUCGUCGACCGGAAGAGAGGAAAACGUCGAGGUUAAGUCACAGGAUGAUCAAGCCAAGAGUGAGUUGAUAAUAAAAAAAGAUGAAGAGAAAAUAAGUGGGAAAGAUGAGACAGUGUCAGUGGAUGAAACAUCUGAUCUUUUGAGCAAUUAUGAAAUGUUAUGUGGAAGCAUGGAUCUGGGGUCAUGGACUAACCAGCUAGAAACCAAUACUACUACUUAUAGUUCUUCAUUGUCUGCAGAUGAGUCCAAUAACCCUUCAAUUGGUGAGUCUCCUUCAGUUCAAGACAUGGAUUCUAUUCUUUCAUGGGAAAGCUUCAAUCAUCUAGUUGAUGAUAUUUUAUUCGUGGAAAAUAUCCA
rnacentral:misc_RNA from 1 species